rnacentral:rRNA from 1 species
UACGGGGGGGGCAAGCGUUGUUCGGAAUUAUUGGGCGUAAAGAGCUCGUAGGCGGCUUGUCACGUCGGGUGUGAAAGCCCGGGGCUUAACCCCGGGUCUGCAUUCGAUACGGGCUAGCUAGAGUGUGGUAGGGGAGAUCGGAAUUCCUGGUGUAGCGGUGAAAUGCGCAGAUAUCAGGAGGAACACCGGUGGCGAAGGCGGAUCUCUGGGCCAUUACUGACGCUGAGGAGCGAAAGCGUGGGGAGCGAACCGG